rnacentral:tRNA from 1 species
GCGGGUGUAGCACAAUGGUAGUGCGCUAGCCUUCCAAGCUAGCCAUACGGGUUCGAUUCCCGUCACCCGCUCCA